rnacentral:rRNA from 1 species
UACGAAGGGAGCUAGCGUUGUUCGGAAUUACUGGGCGUAAAGGGCGCGUAGGCGGGUUUCCAAGUCGGGGGUGAAAUUCCAGGGCUCAACCCUGGGACGGCCUUCGAUACUGGGAGCCUGGAGAUCGGGAGAGGUGAGUGGAAUUCCGAGUGUAGAGGUGAAAUUCGUAGAUAUUCGGAGGAACACCAGAAGCGAAGGCGGCUCACUGGCCCGAGACUGACGCUGAGGCGCGAAAGCCAGGGGAGCAAACGGG